rnacentral:rRNA from 2 species
GUCGUAACAAGGUCUCCGUUGGUGAACCAGCGGAGGGAUCAU